rnacentral:rRNA from 1 species
AGAGUUUGAUCAUGGCUCAGAAUGAACGCUGGCGGCAGGCCUAACACAUGCAAGUCGAACGGGUCCUUCGGGACUAGUGGCGGACGGGUGAGUAACGCGUGGGAACAUACCCUUUGGUACGGAAUAGCCUCGGGAAACUGGGAGUAAUACCGUAUGUGGUCGAGAGACGAAAGAUUUAUCGCCAAAGGAUUGGCCCGCGUUGGAUUAGGUAGUUGGUGGGGUAAUGGCCUACCAAGCCGACGAUCCAUAGCUGGUUUGAGAGGAUGAUCAGCCACACUGGGACUGAGACACGGCCCAGACUCCUACGGGAGGCAGCAGUGGGGAAUCUUAGACAAUGGGGAAACCCUGAUCUAGCCAUGCCGCGUGAUCGAUGAAGGCCUUAGGGUUGUAAAGAUCUUUCAGGUGGGAAGAUAAUGACUGUACCACCAGAAGAAGCCCCGGCUAACUCCGUG